AGCGAACGCUGGCGGCAGGCCUAACACAUGCAAGUCGAACGAACUCUUCGGAGUUAGUGGCGGACGGGUGAGUAACACGUGGGAACGUGCCUUUAGGUUCGGAAUAACUCAGGGAAACUUGUGCUAAUACCGAAUGUGCCCUUCGGGGGAAAGAUUUAUCGCCUUUAGAGCGGCCCGCGUCUGUUUAGCUAGUUGGUGAGGUAAAGGCUCACCAAGGCGACGAUCAGUAGCUGGUCUGAGAGGAUGAUCAGCCACAUUGGGACUGAGACACGGCCCAAACUCCUACGGGAGGCAGCAGUGGGGAAUCUUGCGCAAUGGGCGAAAGCCUGACGCAGCCAUGCCGCGUGAAUGAUGAAGGUCUUAGGAUUGUAAAAUUCUUUCACCGGGGACGAUAAUGACGGUACCCGGAGAAGAAGCCCCGGCUAACUUCGUG
rnacentral:rRNA from 1 species